rnacentral:lncRNA from 1 species
AGUUUACCAAAUAUUUCACUGUUUGGAAAUCCUAGAAAGGGGAAGCCUGUACUCAGAAUGACAGGGGGGACACACACCAUAAAUGAAUUACCUUUCUAGGUCCAGCACACAAUACAGAUGGCUUCGGCUCAGUGUGACUCAGUAAAAUUUAGAAAUUAGUUUUUGUUGGAUAGUUUGAAUAAAGCAUCCUCAGUUUUAAUACUGGAUUCAGAAGUUGAAAUGCCAUUUCUCAAUCUUACUGGUCUCAAAUUCACUGGUAUAAUUUUUCCCUAAACUAAUAAGUGGGGCAAGUAUAACCUCCUAAAUCGGUACCCACCGGCCACUCCUGAAGUGAUUUCCAGUUAUGUCCUCCAUACGUAAU